rnacentral:rRNA from 20 species
ACGGGUGCGUAACGCGUGGGAAUCUGCCCUUGGGUUCGGAAUAACAGUGAGAAAUUACUGCUAAUACCGAAUGAUGACGUAAGUCCAAAGAUUUAUCGCCCAAGGAUGAGCCCGCGUAGGAUUAGCUAGUUGGUGAGGUAAAAGCUCACCAAGGCGACGAUCCUUAGCUGGUCUGAGAGGAUGAUCAGCCACACUGGGACUGAGACACGGCCCAGACUCCUACGGGAGGCAGCAGUGGGGAAUAUUGGACAAUGGGCGAAAGCCUGAUCCAGCAAUGCCGCGUGAGUGAUGAAGGCCUUAGGGUUGUAAAGCUCUUUUACCCGGGAUGAUAAUGACAGUACCGGGAGAAUAAGCUCCGGCUAACUCCGUGCCAGCAGCCGCGGUAAUACGGAGGGAGCUAGCGUUAUUCGGAAUUACUGGGCGUAAAGCGCACGUAGGCGGCUUUGUAAGUUAGAGGUGAAAGCCUGGAGCUCAACUCCAGAACUGCCUUUAAGACUGCAUCGCUUGAAUCCAGGAGAGGUGAGUGGAAUUCCGAGUGUAGAGGUGAAAUUCGUAGA